GACGAACGCUGGCGGCGUGCUUAACACAUGCAAGUCGAACGGUGACCUCGAGAGCUUGCUCUUGGGUGAUCAGUGGCGAACGGGUGAGUAACACGUGAGUAACCUGCCCCAGACUCUGGAAUAACCCCGGGAAACCGGGGCUAAUACCGGAUACGACACCAGGUCGCAUGGCCAUGGUGUGGAAAGUUUUUCGGUCUGGGAUGGACUCGGGGCCAAUCAGCUUGUUGGUGAGGUAGUGGCACCCUAAGGCGACGACGGGUAGCCGGCCUGAGAGGGCGACCGGCCACACUGGGACUGAGGCACGGCCCAGACUCCUACGGGAGGCAGCAGUGGGGAAUAUUGCACAAUGGGCGCAAGCCUGAUGCAGCGACGCCGCGUGAGGGAUGACGGCCUUCGGGUUGUAAACCUCUUUCAGUAGGGAAGAAGCGCAAGUGACGGUACCUACAGAAGAAGCACCGGCUAACUACGUGCCAGCAGCCGCCGUAAAAC
rnacentral:rRNA from 1 species